rnacentral:rRNA from 1 species
AGAGUACGUGAAACCGCUUAGAGGUAAACGGGUGGAUCCGCAAAGUCGGCCCGGGGAAUUCAACUUGCCGUUCGGACGGCGUACGUUGGGUCAGGGAUCCGUAAGGACCCGCCUGGCGUUCGGCUGUGGUCGGCGAGUGCACUUUCCUCGGGUAUAGCGCCACGACCGGUUUCGGGGCAGUCAGAAGCCAGUCGGGAAGGUAGCCUGCCCUUCGGGGGAGGUGUUAUAGCCCGGCCAGGUCGGCUCGUCUCGAGACCGAGGAUUUGCCGCGUCUCAUUGCCCACGGCUCUCUUCCUGCGUUCGACUGGGGAAGCACUGCUUGCAGUUCUCCCCGACCGCGUGGGUCGAUUCGGUCGUGAAGCACGAGGCGCUUCGGGUCAGUGGCGAAUCGGUCGGUCCUCCACCCGAC